rnacentral:sRNA from 1 species
GAUAAUAAUUGUUAGGUGAGGCUUCUGUCGGAACAUAGGCUAUCGCCCAGAAAUGUCGAGAGACGCCAAUGGGCAGAACAGAGAUUGUCGUUAAGGCAUUCUUUAGAAUAGCUUGGAAAACCAUACGUCCGUCACGUGCCAAAGCUCAACGAACGAAUGUUCUU